rnacentral:rRNA from 1 species
GAUAAACGCUGGCGGCGUGCCUAACACAUGCAGGUCGAACGGAGUGUUGAGAGCUUGCUUUUAACACUUAGUGGCGGACGGGUGAGUAAUGUAUGAGCAACCUGCCUUUCAGAGGGGGACAACAGUUGGAAACGACUGCUAAUACCGCAUAAUGUAUUGAUGGGGCAUCCUGUUGAUACCAAAGGAGCAAUCCGCUGAAAGAUGGGCUCAUAUCUGAUUAGCUAGUUGGUGAGGUAACGGCUCACCAAGGCUGCGAUCAGUAGCCGGACUGAGAGGUUGAACGGCCACAUUGGGACUGAGAUACGGCCCAGACUCCUACGGGAGGCAGCAGUGGGGAAUAUUGGGCAAUGGGCGAAAGCCUGACCCAGCAACGCCGCGUGAAGGAAGAAGGUCUUCGGAUUGUAAACUUCUUUUAUGAGGGACGAAGGACGUGACGGUACCUCAUGAAUAAGCCACGGCUAACUACGUGCCAGCCGCCGCAGUAAGAC